CGUGAAGGGAGCCGAUUGGCCUCCGAGGAUGGACCGAUUCCGCGUGCGUGUGGGCUGGCCCGAGCUGAGAGUUCCCUAAGCUUGGGGCUUCGCCUGUAGGCUUGGAUGAGAGCCAGUGUGUGCAUGGCCCAUUGAUUGUAAAAGAUAAGAAAGUUCAGAGGACAUCCUUGAAUGCAGAGGAGAGAUGUUUGACCGCCAACUUCAGUGUUCUGGUCUUCAUCUACUCCAACAAGAGAAACGUUCAUCCUAGCUAUGAAGUGAUCGGUGUGAUUCUUGCAAAUCUGCACUCCGAAAAUCAGGGUUAAAAUGCCAUGGCCAAGGCAAGUUGCAGAAUCCAGGGAAUAUUGGGAUUUACAAUUCCAAAGGAAGAGAAUACACAUGGUGGGGAGAUAAGAUGCAACCCCUGUUCAACAGUGUGCUGGGGCGUGAGCCAUACAAUCCGAAAAAGAAACGGUUAAAUUCUGGAGUCUUUCAACUCCACCAGAAAUCCAGGAAUGACUGAAUAAUAGAAUAU